rnacentral:rRNA from 1 species
GGUUUUUAGAAAUUGUUAAAAAUCAAACCUGCUCAAUGCUUAGUAAAUAGCCGCGGUAUUUUGACCGUGCAAAGGUAGCAUAAUCAUUAGCCCUAUAAUUGAGGGCUAGAAUGAAUGGUCUAACUAGACUAAUUUGUCUUAUAAUAAUAUCUUAAACUUUAUAUUUUAGUAAAAAAGCUAAAAUAAUUUUUAAAGACAAGAAGACCCUAUUGAGCUUUACAAAAAAAAUAACUUUUCAAAAGGUUAAUUAAUUUUGUUUUACUGGGGCAGUAAGAAAACAAAAAUUUUUCAUCUAUAUUGUGAAAUAUUAUUCUUGUCAAAUCAAAAUAUUUUUUAAUUAAAAAUAAGUUACCGUAGGGAUAACAGCGUUAUUUUUCUUUAGAGAACAUAUCAAAAGAAAAGUUUGCGACCUCGAUGUUGGAUUAAGAAACCUCUUUUACGCAAUAGUAAAAAAAGGAAGUCUGUUCGACUUUUAAAUUCUUCCA